rnacentral:sRNA from 1 species
UAUAAUUUCAGUACUGAAAUAAAUCUUAUAGAAAUGUUUGCAAACAUGCUGUCAUUCGAGCUGUUAGUUCUUUGUUUUCAGGUGGUUGAUUUGCUGAGAUAUUUUUCCUGGGCCGAGCCCCAGUUGAAGGCAAUGAAAGCAUUACAGCAUAAAAUGGUGGCUGUCCAGCCAACAGAAGUGGUCAAUAUACUCAACUGUUUCACUUUCAGUAAAGACAAACUAGUUGCUCUUGAACUGUUAGCCUCGAACAUUAUUGAUGCACAGAAUUCUCGUCCUAUUGAAGAUUUAUUCAGGAUAAAUAUGUCUGAGAAGAAACGGUGCAAGAGAAUACUUGAACAGGCUUUCAAGGGGGGCUGCAAAGCUCCUCAUGCUAUGAUAUCUUCUUGUGGAACUAUCCCAGGAAAUCCAUAUCCCAAAGGAAGACCUAGCCGCAUAAAUGGAAUUUUCCCAGGAACUCCUUUGAAAAAAGAUGGUGAAGAAUGUACUAACGAAGGCAAAGGAAUA